rnacentral:lncRNA from 1 species
GAGUCCAAAGAAGAUGCGCCAAGACGACAAGCUCGUGGAGAGCAAGACGUCAUCUGACCCAUCAAGCCAUACUCCAGCAGCAGCCAGGCAAACUCUCCUUGAAGGCACUGAACCCACGCAGCAAUACAAGACUACACAGGUGUGCCUAUUCUCUGAGCUUAUAUAUACGUAUACUUCUUGUGCAUGCGAACAUACUGAAUUUAUUUAAUAUUUGUAGGGCAAAGCUAAAUUGCACCCAUUGAUCAACUUGGACGAGCAAGAAGGCUUUGAUGAAAACAUCUCUCUUGCCGA